UGCAAUUUAGGAGUGUACUAAGGUAGCGCGGUAAGUAACCCUUUAAUUGAGGGAUAGUAUGAAUGGCUGGACGCAGAGAAGCUGUUUCCAAUGUAGUGAACAAGAAGUUUCUUUCUAAGUGCAAAAGCUUGGGUUUUUGUAAAAGACGACGAGACCCUGUCGAACUUGUUUAAAAACUAAAAUAUUUAGCUUAGAUUAGUUAAUAAGUUUCAGUUCUGUUAUUUGUUAGCUAUUUCCUUAAUUUGUUUUUAAUUUUUGAUUAUGGUUUUAUCGCAGUCUUGUCUAUUGGUAAGUAGUGUUUGUUUUAAAAAAUAUUAUUUACGUGGUAAGUUGUGGUUAAAUCACACAGAUUAAGUUGUUUCGAGUUUAUUUUGGUUUCGAAUUUUUGUUGGGGCAACACACACUUAUUAAACGGUGUGUUUUUGUAUAAGGACCCUGUAUGACGGCCUAAAGCAAAAGUUACCGCAGGGAUAACAGCGUAAUUUUUUUCCGUAAGUUGUAUUGGGAAAAAAGUUUGCGACCUCGAUGUUGGAUUAU
rnacentral:rRNA from 1 species